rnacentral:rRNA from 1 species
UCCGUAGGCGGUGCGGCAAGUCGGAAGUGAAAUCUCAGGGCUUAACCCUGAGGCUGCUUCCGAAACUGCCGUGCUGGAGUGCGAGAGAGGCGAGUGGAAUUGCAGGUGUAGCGGUGAAAUGCGUAGAUAUCUGCAGGAACACCCGAGGCGAAAGCGGCUCGCUGGAUCGCAACUGACGCUGAGGGACGAAAGCUAGGGGAGCAAACAGGAUUAGAUACCCUGGUAGUCCUAGCCCUAAACGAUCAGGGCUGGGCGUGGGCCUCGUACGGGGCUCGUGCCGCAGCUAACGCGUUAAGUCCUGCGCCUGGGGAGUACGGUCGCAAGGCUGAA